UCCUGCGGGAGGCAGCAGUGGGGAAUAUUGCGCAAUGGGCGAAAGCCUGACGCAGCGACGCCGCGUGGGGGAUGACGGCCUUCGGGUUGUAAACCUCUUUUACCACCAACGCAGGCUCCCAGUUCUCUGGGGGUUGACGGUAGGUGGGGAAUAAGGACCGGCUAACUACGUGCCAGCAGCCGCGGUAAUACGUAGGGUCCGAGCGUUGUCCGGAAUUAUUGGGCGUAAAGAGCUCGUAGGCGGCGUGUCGCGUCUGCUGUGAAAGACCGGGGCUUAACUCCGGUUCUGCAGUGGAUACGGGCAUGCUAGAGGUAGGUAGGGGAGACUGGAAUUCCUGGUGUAGCGGUGAAAUGCGCAGAUAUCAGGAGGAACACCGGUGGCGAAGGCGGGUCUCUGGGCCUUACCUGACGCUGAGGAGCGAAAGCAUGGGGAGCGAACAGGAUUAGAUACCCUGGUAGUCCAUGCCGUAAACGUUGGGCGCUAGGUGUGGGGACUUUCCACGGUUUCCGCGCCGUAGCUAACGCAUUAAGCGCC
rnacentral:rRNA from 1 species